ACCGUGUCUGGUGCCGCAGGGAAUCCGUGAAGCGAGCCACCUGGGAAGUACGGCCGCAAGGCUGAAACUUAAAGGAAUUGGCGGGGGAGCACAACAACGGGUGGAGCCUGCGGUUUAAUUGGACUCAACGCCGGACAACUCACCGGGAACGACAGCAAUAUGUAGGCCAGGCUGAAGACCUUGCCUGAAUCGCUGAAAGGAGGUGCAUGGCA
rnacentral:rRNA from 1 species